CCUACGGGAGGCUGCAGUAGGGAAUCUUCCACAAUGGACGAAAGUCUGAUGGAGCAACGCCGCGUGUGUGAUGAAGGGUUUCGGCUCGUAAAACACUGUUGUAAGAGAAGAAUGACAUUGAGAGUAAAUGAUCAGCGUGUGACGGUAUCUUACCAGAAAGGAACGGAAAAAUAAGUGCCAGCAGGCGCGGUAAUACGACUGUUCCUAGCGCUAUCCGGAGUUAUUGGGUGUAAAGCGAGCGCAGACGAUUGUUUAAGUACGAAGGGAAAGCCCACAGCUUAACUGUGGAAGUGCCUUGGAAACUGGAUAACUUGAGUGAAGUAGAGGAGAGUGGAACUCCAUGUGUAGCGGUGAAAUGCGUAGAUAUAUGGAAGAACACCAGUGGCGAAGGCGGCUCUCUGGACUGUAACUGACGUUGAGGCUCGAAAGUGUGGGUAGCAAACAGGAUUAGAUACCCGAGUAGUC
rnacentral:rRNA from 1 species